rnacentral:rRNA from 1 species
GAUGAACGCUGGCGGCGUGCCUAAUACAUGCAAGUCGAGCGAACGGACGAGAAGCUUGCCUCUCUGAUGUUAGCGGCGGACGGGUGAGUAACACGUGGAUAACCUACCUAUAAGACUGGGAUAACUUCGGGAAACCGGAGCUAAUACCGGAUGAUAUUUUGAACCGCAUGGUUCAAAAGUGAAAGACGGUCUUGCUGUCACUUAUAGAUGGAUCCGCGCUGCAUUAGCUAGUUGGUAAGGUAACGGCUUACCAAGGCAACGAUGCAUAGCCGACCUGAGAGGGUGAUCGGCCACACUGGAACUGAGACACGGUCCAGACUCCUACGGGAGGCGGCAGUAGGGAAUCUUCCGCAAUGGGCGAAAGCCUGACGGAGCAACGCCGCGUGAGUGAUGAAGGUCUUCGGAUCGUAAAACUCUGUUAUUAGGGAAGAACAUAUGUGUAAGUAACUGUGCACAUCUUGACGGUACCUAAUCAGAAAGCCACGGCUAACUACGUG